rnacentral:rRNA from 1 species
GACUGUAUAUCGCCGAAAACGAGUAAUCAUCGUUUACAGCGUGGACUACCAGGGUAUCUAAUCCUGUUUGAUCCCCACGCUUUCGUCCCUGAGCGUCAAUCCAGGCCUAGUGAGCUGCCUUCGCUAUCGGUGUUCUGUGUAAUAUCUAUGCAUUUCACCGCUACACUACACAUUCCGCCCACUUCGACCGAAUUCAAGACUUACAGUAUCAAUGGCAGUUCUACAGUUGAGCUGUAGGCUUUCACCACUGACUUAUAUGCCCGCCUGCGGACCCUUUAAACCCAAUGAUUCCGGAUAACGCUUGCACCCUCCGUAUUACCGCGGCUGCUGGCACGGAGUUAGCCGGUGCUUAUUCAUUUGGUACCUUCAGACCCCGACACGUCGGGGGGUUUAUUCCCAAAUAAAGCAGUUUACAAUCCAUAAGACAUUCCUCCUGCA